GACGAACGCUGGCGGCGUGCUUAACACAUGCAAGUCGAACGGAAAGGCCUCUUUCGGGGGGUACUCGAGUGGCGAACGGGUGAGUAACACGUGAGUAACCUGCCCUUUACUUUGGGAUAACUUCAGGAAACUGGGGCUAAUACCGGAUAGGAGCUCCUGCUGCAUGGUGGGGGUUGGAAAGUUUCGGCGGUUGGGGGUGGACUCGCGGCUUAUCAGCUUGUUGGUGGGGUAGUGGCUUACCAAGGCGUUGACGGGUAGCCGGCCUGAGAGGGUGACCGACCACAUUGGGACUGAGAUAAGGCCCAGACUCCUAAGGGAGGCAGCAGGGGGGAAUAUUGCAAAAUGGGUGGAAGCCUGAUGCAGCAACGCCGUGUGCGGGAUGACGGCCUUCGGGUUGUAAAACGCUUUCGCUCAUGACGAAGCUUUGUGUGACGGUAGUGGGUAAAGAAGCACCGGCUAACUACGUG
rnacentral:rRNA from 1 species